ACCGUCACGGUGACUUGCAAGCAACUCACUGCACUUAGGCACUGGACUACCUGAAUUUCUAAUUCAGUGACGGAAGGCUGCUGGGUGUAGUCAAGUACUUGACUUGUCGGUGCGUGUGUCAAGAUGCAAUUGACCACUCCAGUUUAGGAGCUGUGUACAGUCAUGUUUCAAUUUAGCAAAACCUUGACCAGGGUAGUCUUUGUGAGGAGUCACAGGACUGUUUGAGUUGAGCGCGAUUCGGAUGAUCUAAUCAGGGUUGACAGUUUAACCCUGAGUUGUCCUAAACACAGAGGUCAAAAGGAUGAAUUAUACAGUAACCAUAUUCACGUAGGUUCUGAGUGUUGCGAUUGCGACCAUUCGACCUAUCCGGUCAUCAGGUACCAUUGCUAGAUGGUCACUUCGAUUAGUACAGGAAUUGGUUCUUAUGCUACCGGCUUAGGUUCGAACCUGCGGGGUCACACACAUUAGAGGUUCCUAUCUGAUCUGAUGGCUG
rnacentral:lncRNA from 1 species